GUAAAUGGGACAGGUAGAAUUUUAGGAAGCUCUUACGCAGUCUGUUAAUUAAAGAUAACAAGGAGUCGGGUCAGUUUCUGAGGAAACUCAUAUUCAAUAUCUAAUAUCAGGAAACAACACAUUUAAUUGGAAAACCACUGUUAAGAAAAAAAUAGUAUCCCUGAAUAUUGCUUUCCCAAAACUGAAGUUUCUGAGGCUUUGCUAAGCGGCAGUAACUCCAUAUGGACAUCUUGGAUUUCUUAGAAUAAAUAAUAUUACGAAAUAGAAAAUGCUGCUGUUCCCUUGGUUAUAGACUGUGUUCUGCAUAAUGUUUUUGUUGUUUUAUUGUUUUUAACUUAGGCAACUUAUGGCUAACGAACCACUGGAAAAAUUGGGAUUUAAAGAUCUGAUGGAUGAGAAAUCAGAAGCAAAACCUGAAAAGUCGUAAUGGAGAAAGACAACUUCACUCCUCACCCUACUCUUAAAGAUCCAUAAGAACAUUUUGCCUGGGAGAAAACAAUUAUUGCCUGAAGUGUUCUCCAUGUCUCUGUAAGAACACUGAAGUCUUACUUUAGAAAGACAAAAAAACCCCUUUAUUGUGUAGAUCUUGACCUAUAGAUUAAUCUUAUGUGGGCAUUACUGAUAUGCUUACAGGAAUUACUUGUCAGGUGGAAAUAAAGCUACUGUGGUACCUGCAAA